CGACUACAGCCACUACUACACCACCAUCCAGGACCUGCGGGACAAGAUUCUUGGUGCCACCAUUGAGAACUCCAGGAUUGUCCUGCAGAUCGACAAUGCCCGUCUGGCUGCAGAUG
ensembl:miRNA